rfam:Ictidomys tridecemlineatus contig009412, whole genome shotgun sequence.
GGGGUUGUGGCUCAGUGGUAGAGCGCUCUCCUCGUAUGUGUGAGACCCUGGGUUCGAUCCUCAGCAUCUCGU